AUUCUUUUUUGGUUCAUAAAUGUGAUGAUUGGGUUUUCACACUGUUGUGUGAGAUGUGCCUCCCUCUAAACCUUGUUAUGAUGCCAGCAUGUUACCCAUCUGAAA